rnacentral:rRNA from 1 species
GAUGAACGCUGGCGGCGUGCCUAAUACAUGCAAGUCGAGCGAACAGACGAGGAUCUUUCUCCUCUGACGUUAGCGGCGGACGGGUGAGUAACACGUGGCUAACCGACCUAUAAGACUGGGAUAACUUCGGGAAACCGGAGCUAAUACCGGAUAAUAUAUUGAACCGCAUGGUUCAAUAGUGAAAGACGGUUUUGCUGUCACUUAUAGAUGGAUCCGCGCCGCAUUAGCUAGUUGGUAAGGUAACGGCUUACCAAGGCAACGAUGCGUAGCCGACCUGAGAGGGUGAUCAGCCACACUGGAACUGAGACACGGUCCAGACUCCUACGGGAGGCAGCAGUAGGGAAUCUUCCGCAAUGGGCGAAAGCCUGACGGAGCAACGCCGCGUGAGUGAUGAAGGUCUUCGGAUCGUAAAACUCUGUUAUUAGGGAAGAACAAAUGUGUAAGUAACUAUGCACGUCUUGACGGUACCUAAUCAGAAAGCCACGGCUAACUACGUG